AGAAGAACUUCAACGCGACGUAUUGAGUUAAGGCAGUGGGCUUCCAGAACUAACAGCGUCCAUAUCUAACGCGUCAAAGGAAAUGUCUCACUAUAUCGCCGAAGACAAGGAAGUGCCUGCCCUGAGUCUAAUUUGGCACACAGAAAGAGACUAUUUAAUGUUUGCAGUAAAUCUAAACAAGCCAGCACCAUAUCUUUCCAAAAGAGCAUACUUAUCCGAUUCAAGUGUUCUAUUCGAUCCGCUAGGACUUCUAUCUCCUUGCACAAUAAAGUAAAAAAUUUGGUUUCAGGAUUUUUGGCGUUCUAACGUCGAUUGGGAUGAUCCAGUUCCGAUGCCUAUAGCGGGUGAAUGGUGUCAUUAUCGAGAACGGUUAAAGUUGUUUUCAGACUAAAAGCUUAAAAGGUAGACAGGUAUUUGUGCGAAGGGUGCAUGCACGCAGUUGCAUCUAUUUGCAGACUCAUCAGAGUGGGCAUUCGUCGCUGUUAUUUAUGCUCGCACUAUACAGCCAUAUGGAGAAAUAAUUGUCGCUUUGGUUAGUUCUAAGACCAAGGUAGCACCGCUGAAAGUUACUACACUUCCUCAUAUUCAAUGCUUUGCGGUGCAAACCUCGCAGCUAAGCUAGCGAAAACGAUUAUGGACAACUUGCCUAACCAAACUUAUCCGAUGUUCGCGUCGCAGACACUCAAGAAAUUUUAAGGGCUGAAUCGUGGAAUCACAUACGUUCCGAAAUUAAUCCCGCUGACUGCGCUUCCAGAGGUUUAACUCCGCUUGAACUGAUGGAGCAUCGGUUAAAGUGGAAUGGUCCGGAAUUCCUUAGCAGUUCAGAGGAAUUUUGGAGGCUUAAGUCUCCAUCGACGCACACAAAAAACUUGGAACUUCAAGCAAGUAAACUAUCCGCCCACGUUGUGAGCUCGAAAGAACACUGCAACUUCAGAGCUGCUAUAAUACAUAGUUAUGUAAAGGCAACCAGGCCCCUUUUGUGGAAUGAGAUUACUAACGCUGAAGACGCUCUGAUAAGGUAUACGCAAAAUUACUAUUUUUCUAAUGAAAUUUCCCAUUGCAGAGAUAAA